rnacentral:rRNA from 1 species
CCUACGGGUGGCUGCAGUAAGGAAUAUUGGUCAAUGGACGCAAGUCUGAACCAGCCAUGCCGCGUGCAGGAUGACGGCCCUAUGGGUUGUAAACUGCUUUUGUACGGGAAAAAACCCUCGCUCGUGAGCGGGGCUGAUGGUACCGUAAGAAUAAGGAUCGGCUAACUCCGUGCCAGCAGCCGCGGUAAUACGGAGGAUCCAGGCGUUAUCCGGAUUUAUUGGGGUUAAGGGGUAAAAUUGAGGCAGUUUAGAAAUCCUGCAGCUUAACUGCAGAACUGCCAUUGAUACUGUUUUUCUUGAGUAUAGUUGAAGUGGGCGGAAUGUGUCAUGUAGCGGUGAAAUGCUUAGAUAUGACACAGAACACCAAUUGCGAAGGCAGCUCGCUAAGCUAUAACUGACGCUCAUGCACGAAAGCGUGGGGAUCAAACAGGAUUAGAUACCCCAGUAGUC